CUACGGGUUGCUCCAGUGAGGAAUAUUGCACAAUGGGGGGAACCCUGAUGCAGCAACGCCGCGUGGAGGAUGACGCAUUUCGGUGUGUAAACUCCUUUUAUAUGUCAAGAAAAUGACGGUAGCAUAUGAAUAAGCACCGGCUAACUCCGUGCCAGCAGCCGCGGUAAUACGGAGGGUGCAAGCGUUACUCGGAAUCACUGGGCGUAAAGGACGCGUAGGCGGGUUGGAAAGUCAGGUGUGAAAUCCUACAGCUUAACUGUAGAACUGCACUUGAAACUUCUAAUCUAGAGUAUGGGAGGGGGAGAUGGAAUUAGUGGUAUAGGGGUAACAUCCGUAGAUAUCACUAGGAAUACCUAAAGCGAAGGCGAUCUCCUGGAACAUUACUGACGCUAAGGCGUGAAAGCGUGGGGAGCAAACAGGAUUAGAUACCCGCGUAGUC
rnacentral:rRNA from 1 species